CCCUCCCCGCCCCCGGCGGCGGCGGCGGCGCGGCUGCUGCUGCUGUUGUCACCCACCGGGCUGCCUGUCCCGCUUGCCCUCACCGCUGCGGGGCUUGCGUGGCCGGCCGGGCCGGGGACAGGCGGCAACCUCACCGCUGCCACCACCGCCAUGCUGGCCGCUCGUCCACCCCACUGGGGGCCCCACCGCGCCCCAGCCCCCCGUGGGCCCGGCGCCAGCCCUGACCCCGGUCUCAGCGGCGGUGGCAGCCGAGGUGCAGGAUGCGAGAAGGCGCCCCCCGGCCGGGCUCCCGCUCCAGGCCUCGCACCCCUGCGGCCCUCUGAGCCCACCAUGGCCAUCCCACCAGGCCAUGGCCCCUUCUCUGGCUUCCCGGGGCCCCAGGAGCACACGCAGGUACUGCCUGAUGUGCGGCUACUGCCUCGGAGGCUACCCCUGGCCUUCCGGGACGCGACCUCGGCCCCACUGCGCAAGCUCUCUGUGGACCUCAUCAAGACUUACAAGCACAUCAAUGAGGUGUACUAUGCUAAGAAGAAGCGGCGGGCCCAGCAAGUGCCACCCCAGGACUCAAGCACCAAGAAGGAGAAGAGGGUCCUAAACCACGGUUAUGAUGACGACAACCAUGACUACAUUGUGCGCAGUGGCGAGCGCUGGCUGGAGCGCUAUGAGAUUGACUCUCUGAUUGGCAAAGGCUCCUUUGGCCAGGUGGUGAAAGCCUACGAUCAUCAAACCCAAGAGCUGGUGGCCAUCAAGAUCAUCAAGAACAAGAAGGCCUUCCUGAACCAGGCCCAGAUUGAGCUUCGGCUGCUGGAGCUGAUGAACCAGCAUGACACAGAGAUGAAGUACUACAUAGUGCACCUGAAGCGGCACUUCAUGUUCCGGAACCACCUGUGCCUGGUGUUUGAGCUGCUGUCCUACAACCUGUAUGACCUCCUGCGCAACACACACUUCCGUGGCGUCUCACUCAACCUGACCCGGAAGCUGGCCCAGCAGCUGUGCACGGCACUGCUCUUCUUGGCCACGCCUGAGCUCAGCAUCAUUCACUGCGACCUCAAGCCUGAGAACAUCCUGCUCUGCAACCCCAAGCGCAGCGCCAUCAAGAUCGUAGACUUUGGCAGCUCCUGCCAGCUCGGCCAGCGGAUCUACCAGUAUAUCCAGAGCCGCUUCUACCGCUCGCCUGAGGUGCUCCUGGGCACGCCCUAUGACUUGGCCAUCGACAUGUGGUCCCUGGGUUGCAUCCUGGUAGAGAUGCACACUGGAGAGCCCCUCUUCAGUGGCUCCAAUGAGGUGGACCAGAUGAGUCGCAUCGUGGAGGUGCUGGGCAUCCCACCAGCCCCCAUGCUGGAGCAGGCCCCCAAGGCUCGAAAGUACUUUGAGCGGCUGCCUGGGGGUGGCUGGACCCUACGAAGGACAAAGGAACUCAGGAAGGAUUACCAGGGCCCCGGGACACGGCGGCUGCAGGAGGUGCUGGGCGUGCAGACGGGCGGGCCCGGGGGCCGGCGGGCGGGGGAGCCGGGCCACAGCCCCGCCGACUACCUCCGCUUCCAGGACCUGGUGCUGCGCAUGCUGGAGUAUGAGCCCGCCGCCCGCAUCAGCCCGCUGGGGGCUCUGCAGCACGGCUUCUUCCGCCGCACGGCCGACGAGGCCACCAACACGGGCCCGGCAGGCAGCAGUGCCUCCACCUCGCCCGCGCCCCUCGACACCUGCCCCUCUUCUAGCACCGCCAGCUCCAUCUCCAGUUCGGGAGGCUCCAGUGGCUCCUCCAGUGACAACCGGACCUACCGCUACAGCAACCGCUAUUGUGGGGGCCCUGGGCCCCCCAUCACUGACUGUGAGAUGAACAGCCCCCAGGUUCCACCCUCCCAGCCGCUGCGUCCCUGGGCAGGGGGCGAUGUGCCCCACAAGACACAUCAAGCCCCUACCUCUGCCUCGUCACUGCCGGGGCCGGGGGCCCAGUUACCCCCCCAGCCCCGAUGCCUUGGCCGUCCCCCAUCACCAACCUCACCACCCCCCCCAGAGCUGAUGGAUGUGAGCCUGGUGGGCGGCCCUCCAGACUCUCCACCUCACCCAGCACUUGCCCCCCAGCACCCGGCUGCCUCAGCCCUCCGGACUCGGAUGACAGGAGGCCGCCCACCUCUCCCACCCCCUGAUGACCCUGCCUCUCUGGGGCCUCGCCUGGGUCUCCGUGGUGUACCCCAGAGCACAGCAGCCAGCUCAUGACCCUGCCCCUCCCUGGGGCCCCUCCUGAAGCCAUACCCCCCAUCUGGGGGCCCUGGGCUCCCAUCCUCAUCUUCCCCCUUGACUGGAAUUGCUGCUACCCAGCUGGGGUGGGUGAGGCCUGCACUGAUUGGGGCCCGGGGCAGGGGGGUCAAGGAGAAGGGUUUGGCCACACUCUCCCUACCAAGGACUGAACCCUUGGCCCCCUCUCCCCCUUUGUUUUCUAUUUAUUGUACCAAAGACAGUGGUGGUCUGGUGGAGGGGAGAACCCCCCUCACCCCUGGGCCCUAGGAUGGGGUGGGGGCAGGUAGGGGGAGAUGGCCUUGCUCCUCCUCGCUGUACCCCCCAGUAAAGAGCUUUCUCACAUGCCUGCCUGAGCGUUUGCAGGGCCUUGGCUCCCCUCACCUGGCCCUCAGAGACCUGGUGGGAAAGGGUUUGGGGAAGGGAUGCUGGGAGAGCUCUGGUGUGGGUAUGUUCCUUUGGGGUAGUUAUAGCUGUUGGAACAGGCAUGGGACCGCAGGAGGGGGCUACAGAGUCGUAGACAUCCUGGAUAGGAUUCUAGCCCACAUUUGCCUUUUCUAGGGUAAACUGAGACCCUGCAAAAGUAAAGCCCUCCACCCCCCACUUAGGCUCACCUUUCUCUGGAAAACAUCAUGUUCUGCCCUCAUAAAGCCAGGGCUUCCAGGGAGCCAGCACAGGAAUGGCUCCUUAUGCCAGGCAGGCAUCCAAUUGGUUCUGGGUGCAUUUAGCACGCGUUCCUUGAUGCCAUCUGGGGAACAGGCAGGAGAUGAGUACAGACUUUAUCCCAUCCAUGUCCGGUCCUACUCCGGAAUCAUUGCAAAGCAAAGCGUUUCAAGAGUCUCAGGCAAAAAGAUACUCCCAGGGUUCCAGGUAAGUUGUCUUGUUUCCAUGGCAAUUUGGAAACUUCCGCCUCCCAACUGUCCAAUCCAGAACCGCCUGGUUCAAAGGGUAUGGACUCCUGCUGCUGGGGCGCGGCGCUUCCUGGGAAAUGGAGUUCUAUGGGGCACAAUCUUUAGCCGCUUCUCGUUAGAGAACUACAAAGACCAGAAUCCUCCGCGCAUACUUUUUGGGGCAGGCGUUCAGGUAGCCAAUCGGCAGUCAGAGGCAAGCAGGACCUUGGGUUUGUGGGACGGUCAGUAGAGGCAAAGCAGGCCGUGAUUGGGUGGUUUGCGCCGUGCUUUGCGCAGGUGUGGAGUUCUCCAGAGCGUUCGGAAAGGUGGGCCCUGACAGCGCGCAGGUUAGGCACUCGUGGUUCCGGAGUUGGCGGUAGGUGCCAAGGGCUGAAGCGCCUCCCAUCACGCGGGACGUUGCUGGCUGCUGUCUGGGCCGGCUCGCGGGAAGCUCAGGUCGGUGGAGAGACAGGCGAGGACGCCAUUAGGACCUGUACCUGUUUACUAAUGGCGAAAGCGUGGAACGCGGUGGGAACUCGGAGGAAGCACAGUGUAUUAAGUAUAAAGGAAGUCUGAGAAAUCAACAAAGUCAAGAGGAGCCUAAGGAUAUGUGAUGAUUGAAUGCAAUGCAGAAUGCUGGAGGGGUCCUGGAACAGAAAAAUAACAGCAGAGGAAAAGUAAGGAAAUCAAUUGUGAAGGUGUACCUACUAUCUUCACAACUUUUCUGUAACUCCAAAACUAUUUAAAAAUUUGUUUUGGUAAGGUGAUCCACAUUUAUUUUGGACUUACUCCGUCCCAUCUUUGGGAUGAAUAAUUUGCUCCAUGAAGCUCUAGUUCCUUUUAGUGGAUGAUGGUAUUUUGAAGUCAACAUCUGAGUGCUCUGUGUUUCGUUGUUUGUGAUUGUCAUUGUUUUAGGCCUUCUGAGCAAAGAGAGCUAUGAGAUUACCUCGUCUCACCCACAGGUAAGAGGAGAACCACUACCUCAACCAAGAGAAGGUGGGGCAAAUUGGAGACUCUGUUCAGGCAGCCAAAUGAGGAAGAGGAAAAAAUUAAAUUAUUUUGAAACAGUAACAGUAAUAACAGUUGCCACCUUUUGAGCAAGCAGUAUGUGCCAGGUAUGCUGCUACUAUUUUUCAAUUUUUCUUCUUUCUUUUACUUAAAUUUUAUUUCUAUUUGGAUAAAUUCCUAUUCAGAUUAUUUUCCCAGUUUUAGUUACUUGACUUUUAAUUAUUAUAAGAGUGAUUUUCCUGUAUUCUAAAUACAAAUCCUUUAUCAUCUAUAUGAUUUGAAAAUAUUUUCUCCCAAUUUGAAGACUGUCUUUUCACUUUCUCAAUAGUAUCCUUUGAGACUCAAAUGGUGUUUUGGUUUGGUUCGGUUGAGACAGGUUCUCUCUAUGCAUCCCAAGCUGGCCUCAAACUCAAGAUUCACCUGCCUCAACUUCCCCAAUGCUGGCAUGACAGGUAAGACUUGACUGCAUAGAAUGAACUGAAGUGUCAUCCUCUUUUCUACUUUUUGAAGAGUUUUUGAAGAAUUGAUAUUCUCUUUAAAUGCUUGGUGAAAUUCAAAGUGAAGAGAUGGAAGAUAGCCCCUGGGAAGCAGAAAUCUUUGCAUUAUAUUGACUUUCACUGAGAUGUUUUCA